UGCAGUCGAGCGGACAGAAGGGAGCUUGCUCCCGGAUGUUAGCGGCGGACGGGUGAGUAACACGUGGGUAACCUGCCUGUAAGACUGGGAUAACUCCGGGAAACCGGAGCUAAUACCGGAUAGUUCCUUGAACCGCAUGGUUCAAGGAUGAAAGACGGUUUCGGCUGUCACUUACAGAUGGACCCGCGGCGCAUUAGCUAGUUGGUGAGGUAACGGCUCACCAAGGCGACGAUGCGUAGCCGACCUGAGAGGGUGAUCGGCCACACUGGGACUGAGACACGGCCCAGACUCCUACGGGAGGCAGCAGUAGGGAAUCUUCCGCAAUGGACGAAAGUCUGACGGAGCAACGCCGCGUGAGUGAUGAAGGUUUUCGGAUCGUAAAGCUCUGUUGUUAGGGAAGAACAAGUGCAAGAGUAACUGCUUGCACCUUGACGGUACCUAACCAGAAAGCCACGGCUAACUACGUGCCAGCAGCCGCGGUAAUACGUAGGUGGCAAGCGUUGUCCGGAAUUAUUGGGCGUAAAGGGCUCGCAGGCGGUUUCUUAAGUCUGAUGUGAAAGCCCCCGGCUCAACCGGGGAGGGUCAUUGGAAACUGGGAAACUUGAGUGCAGAAGAGGAGAGUGGAAUUCCACGUGUAGCGGUGAAAUGCGUAGAGAUGUGGAGGAACACCAGUGGCGAAGGCGACUCUCUGGUCUGUAACUGACGCUGAGGAGCGAAAGCGUGGGGAGCGAACAGGAUUAGAUACCCUGGUAGUCCACGCCGUAAACGAUGAGUGCUAAGUGUUAGGGGUUUCCGCCCCUUAGUGCUGCAGCUAACGCAUUAAGCACUCCGCCUGGGGAGUACGUCGCAAGACUGAAACUCAAAGAAUUGACUGGGGCCCGCACAAGCGUGGAGCAUGUGGUUUAAUUCGAAGCAACGCGAGAACCU
rnacentral:rRNA from 1 species